UACGAAGGGGGCUAGCGUUGCUCGGAAUCACUGGGCGUAAAGGGCGCGUAGGCGGCCUGCUAAGUCGAACGUGAAAUCCCUGGGCUCAACCCAGGAACUGCGUCCGAUACUGGUUGGCUUGAAUCCGGGAGAAGGAUGUGGAAUUCCAGGUGUAGCGGUGAAAUGCGUAGAUAUCUGGAGGAACACCGGUGGCGAAGGCGACAUCCUGGACCGGCAUUGACGCUGAGGCGCGAAAGCCAGGGGAGCAAACGGG
rnacentral:rRNA from 1 species